rnacentral:lncRNA from 10 species
GAUCCUUAUUAAGGGGUCUGCAGAAAUGAAGGAAUUUCUUAAGAACCCCUACAUGUACCAGGUGCCAGAAAUAGUAAGUUCCUCUUCUAAGCUUCCUUGGUUUUUCUUGCUCUGUGCACAGCCCUUCCUGCUUAGUCUGUAAUGAGCACUUGUUUCUCUGCUUAAUCUGUAACUAGCAAACCUCUUACUCUGUAAACAAGCCUUCCCACCUAGUUGGUAAGGGACAGCCUCUGCCUUCUCCCCUAAUUGGCCUUACUCAAUUUCAAAUACUAGCCAAUCGGGUCAGCUUAGACUGUGUGGUCUGACUCCAGCCAAUGGGGAAAGGACUCAGAACAGGAACUGUGUUAGGGAUAAAAACCCCUGCCCUACCUGGCUAGGUGUGCUCUUGUGAUUGUGACUGACACAGGCAGCACCCUUUUGCAGAAGUAGAUGUGCGUUGCUGAGAAAUUUUCUGCCUAAGUUCUGGUUUUCUUUGCAGCACCCAGCAUUUGUUUCUAACACAGGGAAAGAGUGAGCUGGAGAAACCUCUCAAAUUCAAGAAAGCGUAAAGCAAAUUGAACAAUACGGGUGAGGGUUGGGGAAAAGAAGCCCUCUGCACACCAGAAUUACCCAGAGACAUGGAACACUUAGCACUGCAUCAUAUGUUGGCCUUACAGAGGUCCUCCGUAUUCCAAUGUGAGGAAGGAAGUGGUGGUACAUUUGCAGAAGGCACUAAAUUAAGCGACUCUAAUGAACCAGAUAGAAGGGACCACUGCAACAGGAUUUAGUUUCCUCCUCGAACCAUGAAAGAGACCAGGAGAGAAUAGGCCUUCCUCUUUGGCAGCCAACAUGGAAACAGGAUGAACAAGACCAGGAGGAGGUUUUCCUCUGUUUCACAGGAGCACGGACUAUUCUCUCAUGUUGAAUGUGGCACUUUUUACAUACAAGCAGGAGAGCAACUACACCAAGAUUUUGGAAAACAUGUUAUGUAAGUUUUUAUUUUUAAAAUCAGGAGAGAAUUUCUGCAACAUCCUAUGACCACAGAUCCCUACCCAUCUGCAUUGGGGCACUUACAGAUCACCUUCUCUUCUGAACUUUGUAUGAAGUGACCAUGUCCCUCCUAUCCCUUUCCAUGUGCACAAGAUCAUGUCAUCUCUAGCUUAUUCAAAGACAUUGCCUUAGCAAUCUGCCCUUGCCUUCUGUUUCAUCAGUUUCUAAGCAACAACUAGAAAGGCCAAAGCCUUACAGGACCAGUCUGGCCAAGGCAUAGCUACAGCAUCUUUCUCAUCUGUCUAGCAGACAGUUUCUAUUAGAUCAUUCCCACAAGUACAUACAAGCAGACUUACAUUUCUCACCUCACACUUUAUAAAAAACAAACAACUCCCCAGGCACCCACUUCUCCUCUCCAGGUACAGCCCCUUUGUUAUCCUUUCCUCUACAACUAAACUUCUUAAGAGAAAUUUCUAUACUAGCUGUUUCCUAGUUCUUCCUCAUUUUCUCUUGUGACUUCACUCCAGUCAAUCCAAGAUAACCAUUGACCUUUCUGGUGUCAAAUCUAACAUUUAUUUUUCAGGCCAUAUCUUAUUUCAUCUUUCCACAACAUCUGAUACAGUUGAUUCCUCUACUUCACCUUCUUCACUUUGCUUGAAGGACACCACAGAAAUAGAACAUGGCCAGACUCAGAAGUGCCCCUGGGACCCUCUUCCAAUUACCAUCAUUUUCCUUCUCUCCAAGUUAAUUGUGACCUCUAUGAUGGGGAUAUGAUAAAGAAGAAAAGUACCUCACAGCGAUGAUUGGCAUGUGAUCACUUAGCCAAUGAGAUAAGAGGCUGUAGAAACGAUGUGAUAAUGACAUCUCCUGAGUUGCAGGUCCAUAUUAGAAGUGGAUAUGAAGUAAACAUUGAGCUUUCCUCACAUUUAAUUAACAAGCUUUAUUAUAGAUACAGCUCAAAUUAGUUAAUUCAGGAAGCUUAUUUUGUAGAAAUUAAAACAUUAAUAAACACAUACAUUUAGAAAUAAAGAACUCGGCUGACCCUUUGACUCUUUGAAACAAGUGGCCUUCCAUGCUGUGAAAGAUUGUAGCCACUCUUUGAGACAUUGGAAUGGUGUCCAUUGCAUUUUAUCAAGUUAACUAUAGGUCAGCCUGGGAAAUCUGAAGUUUCCUUAUCUCCUGUCACUGUGGUUGCUGUGAGAUUUUGUGUCAUCACUGUGCUGUCUUCCCUCUCCACAUGAAGGUGAGCUGUCUGGCUUCACUCUAACGUUUGUGAUUUCACGCCCGACCUGAUUGUUGCCAAGCAAUUCCUUUGUUUGGAGAAUUCUGUGCUUUGUUUAGAAUUUUUUAAAGGUUCUUUUCCUGUGGUCAGAUUUCUGUUUGCUACUGUGUCUUAUGCCUUGUUCUCCUACAGAGAAGAUUCUUUGAAGUUAGUGGAAGCUCAGCUUAAAGGAAGAUCUACUGCUCUGUGUGGUGGAUGACCAUGGGGGAGCGAGAAGGCAGCCUCCGGCUUUUGUUUUGUGUGUGUGUGUGUGUGUGUGUGUGUGUGAUGUACCUGGAAAAAUAACACGACUAGGAUUAAAGAGUAUGUUUGGCAUGUUUAAAAUAAAUUGUAAACCAAACGUAUUUUAAAGAAUUUAUACAAAUUUGUCAUUUAGUAAAAUGAAUGACUAUUGAGUAUUCAUGUCAAUAAAACAACCACUUGAAUACAACAA